rnacentral:rRNA from 1 species
CCUACGGGAGGCAGCAGUGGGGGAUAUUGCACAAUGGGGGGAACCCUGAUGCAGCGACGCCGCGUGGGUGAAGGAGUGCUUCGGCAUGUAAAGCCCUAUCGGCAGGGAAGAAGCAAGACGGUACCUGACUAAGAAGCCCCGGCUAACUACGUGCCAGCAGCCGCGGUAAAACGUAGGGGGCGAGCGUGAUCCGGAUUCACUGGGGGUAAAGGGAGCGUAGAGGGUCAUGCAAGCGAGGGGUCAAAGCCCGGGGCCCAACCCCCGUACUGGCCUUGGAACGGGGCGGCUAGAGGGAGGGAGGGGCAGGCGGAAUUCGUGGUGUAGCGGUGAAAGGCGUAGAUAUCAGGAGGAACACCGGCGGCGAAGGCGGCCUGCUGGACUGCGACUGACGUUGAGGCUCGAAAGCGUGGGGAGCGAACAGGAUUAGAUACCCUUGUAGUC